AUGGGGAUGGUUACCGCUGCCGCCCUUCUCGCCUCAUCGCCGCAGACGCCGCUCGUCCGCGGGUAUCUCCCCGGCCUGCCGAGGCUGCGCCUGAGGCCCGCCUCCCCCUGCGUCAGCGCGCUCAGGUCAAACAAUUUUGUUCAAAGGUGUUACAUAGCAAAUGUUGAGGUUGAUGUUAGCAAUGUAAAUAAGGAAGAGGAGGCUUUCGAUGAUCAUCCAUCAUUACCGCCAGGCUGCUCUAUUCCAGUUGUCAAUAUCCUAGGAGAUGUUCUAGAUUCUAGUCCUUUUCCACCAAAUGAUAGUGCUCAGCACCAUGCCGAUUUUGAGGAGCUGCCGGUCUUAUCUGAAGGAGAGCAACAAACAUUGGCCGCCACUCCAGCUCACCCUGCUGGACUAUAUGCUCUCUAUGCUAGCUAUUUGUUUGGUAACCUUGUGGAACAGCUCUGGAAUUUUGCUUGGCCUGCUGCCCUGGCAAUUCUUCAUCCAAGCCUAUUGCCUGUGGCUGUUGUUGGUUUCUUCGGAAAGCUCUCAGUAUUUCUCGGGGCUCCAAUAGUUGGCAAACUUAUGGAUCAUUUCCCGCGAAUACCCAUGUACACAGGAUUGAAUGCUGUCCAGGUGGCCACUCAGUUAAUAUCAGCUGCAAUGGUCAUAUAUGCUCUCAAGAACGCGGGCCGUACUUCUACAUCAGCUUUGCUUCUCAGGCCUUGGUUCAUUGUGCUAGUGAUAGCCGGAGCUAUUGAAAGGCUUGCAGGAUUGGCACUAGGAGUUUCCAUGGAGAGGGACUGGGUUGUGCUGUUAGCAGGAACAAACAGGCCUGUUGCAUUAGCUCAAGCUAAUGCCAUGCUUAAUCGACUUGAUCUUCUUUGUGAGACCGUUGGUGCUUCAGUUUUUGGCCUUCUGCUCACCAAAUACGACAUAGUAACCUGUUUGAAGAUUUCCUCUGCUCUAAUGAUAUGCAGUUUUCCCAUUCUGGUUAUGUUGGGUCAAUUAAUUAACAGCGUCUCUUGUCAUGCGCUUGAUUCCUCGAGAACCCCCAGUGAUGAAUCUAUUUGUGCUGAUCUAUUGGAUGUCCGCAAGAUAGUUCAAAAUGGCUUAAGUUCUAUCAAGCAUGGCUGGAAUGAGUAUAAGCAGCAGACAGUUCUACCUGCAAGUGUUGCUACCGUGUUUCUAAAUUUCAACGUAGCACUUGCUCCUGGCGCGAUAAUGACUGCAUUGUUGAUGCAUCGGGGUAUUAGUCCAUCUAUCGUCGGUGCUUUUAGUGGAUUGUGUUCUGUUAUGGGUCUUGUUGCAACAUUCAUCUCCUCAAGCCUGGUGAAAAGAGUUGGAAUUCUAAAGGCGGGAGCAGCUGGAUUGAUAUUUCAAGCUUCACUCUUGUCAAUUGCUCUCACAGUGUAUUGGGCUGGACCCAUCUCACAGAGAACACCUCUGCUUAUCUUCCUUGCUUCCAUUGCAUUAUCUCGGUUGGGGCACAUGUCUUAUGAUGUUGUGGGGACACAGAUCAUCCAAACAGGAGUUCCUGCUUCAAAAGCAAACCUUAUUGGAGGAAUGGAGGUUUCAAUUGCAAGCCUUGCAGAGUUAGUCAUGCUUGCUAUGGCUAUAAUUGCCAAUGACGUCUCUCAUUUCGGCUUCCUGGCGAUCCUGUCUGUAUCGUCUGUUGCUGGGGCAGCGUGGAUGUUCUGUCGGUGGUUAGGAAAUCCAACAGAUGAACAGAGGGAACUUUUCAUUUUCGAUCCUCACUUCCAACUUCAAGCAACAUAA
rnacentral:rRNA from 1 species